GGGCGCAGGAGGCCCACUCCCCCGACUGGGUCGGCUGCUACCCUCAGGCCAGGGUGUGCGGUGGAGAAACUGAGGCUCUCCUCCAGCUGCUCUGGGAGAAAGGAAAGCCGGGGACCCCACACACUGGCGUCUGUGUCCCAGAACACCCAGCAGGGGGGAGAGCAAUUUAAGAAAUAAUCUGGUUGGCAAAGGGCGUCAUGAAAAUCAGCCAUUUCUAGAGCUGAGGGGCGGUGGUGUUUAGCCCAGAGGACCUAGCUAGCUUUCAGGGAAAAAACGGAUGUGGCCUUUCAGGCAGAGCCCAGAAAAAAAGACCUGUGAUUAGGAGACCCUAAGAACCAGCAAAGAACUUCUAAAUAUUGGAGGGGAGGUGGUGUAGCUGCAAAGAGCCCACACCCACGCUGAGUUAGCUCUGACAGCUUCUAAAGGAAAGGGAGAUGCUUAGAUUAUCCUGAGAAACUGGAGGAUCUCCUGAGUGACCUGAAAAGGUCAUCUCACUCAUCCGCCUGUGGCUGGAGUAAAAUAUACGGAGCCCAUCCCAGGACUCCCAGUGGGAGAGGAUGAACAAUCACUUCUGAAACUAAGCUCAGGAGAAGUUGAGGAGCUUUCUCAAGGGAGAAGAGCUGCCAGGAGAAGCAAGGGUCUCUCUCAGUGCCACUUCCUUUCCAUAAACCAUAAUGAUGGGCUCUGAAAUUGUCCAAGGAAGGAAACCCAUGGCUUCUCAGAGCAACCAGUACCAGGGGUUCAAGUUCGUCAGAGAGCAUGUUGAAGUUCUAUUUUAUUUUCCUCCAUUGGUCACCUGCUGGGGAUGAGGCAUAGGCCUAGUGUUGUCACCUGGAGGAAAGACAUGAUGCAAUUAACAAAGCUGCUAAUGCCUCCUCUCACCCUGACCUCUGCUCUUAGCCUCUGUACCAGCCCACCCUCUGCAUCCUGCACAGCCAGCUGGGCCCUGAGAGGUCCUCCUGGCCCUCCUCCCACCCGUCCUUUGCCUGUCAGAUGGAGGGUCUUUAUGCUGAGAUCACUGGAGAAACAGAGCUUCAGUGCACUCUGUCACACCAGCAAUGAGAAAACCUUUCUAAAGGGGAAAGCUCACAGUAGGCAGAUUCCUGAUUAUUCCAUAAAUCCUGGAGAAGAAAAAUAUAGGUUAACAUAAGGAUUCAAGAGGAUGACACUCUGUGUGUUCAGGCAUAAGCUAAAUUCACUCAUUCCGUUAUUUAGUGAUUUUGUUAUUUAGGGUGUGCCUGGCACUGAGCUAGGCGCCGGGGCUACCACAUGAAUAAGACAGAGAUGGCCCCUCCCUGAACCCUGCCGCAUGCCCUUCCACUCUGCCUCCCAGGACAGGAGGCUAUGAUACACUUUCCUCUCCUGCACCAGCAUAUGUCUGUCUCCUUCCCAGCCCACCCCUAGCAGGUGUUGUCCCCAGCCCCAGCUGCUUAUGUCUCGUGUGUUCUGCCAAGAGCUGCUUCUGUCAGAAGGCACUAACUCUCUGGUGAUUGGGUGGUGGAUAGAAGAGGUAACCUAAAGGCCUGUCCAGAAAAUGAGAUCAAAGUUGGCAGCCUCCUGGGCCCCUCCCAAAAAAGGAUAUAGCCACCACCAUUUAUAAUUAAUUCAGGCCCCACUUCACUCUGUCCCACCUGCUUUCUGUCUCUCUCUCUCUCUUUUUUUUUUUAAGAUCUUUUUCUGAUAUGCCUGGUUGCCCCAAUGCAAGUCUCCUCUUUCUGAAGCUUCCUGUGCCACCAGGGGCCUGUCCACCUCAGAGACCUCUCAGGUGCAGCUCAGCUGCAUCCACAGGGGGUCCUGAGUCCCUAGGCCCUGCACAGAUGUCUACCCAGGUUCUCUUGGUCUCUUCCAUAGCUAUGAGGCCUCCUCAUUGAGGGUGCCCAAACACCACCCUUAAUCACAAGUUUGCCAGCCUCCACCUUCUAACCCUCCUAGACCACAUCAGCCCCUGCCUUAUUCCAGUAUUUUCCUGAUUUCGCCUAUUUCCAGCUUCCCUCAGCCAUUCACAAGCACAGCCUGAUGCUGUGCAUAGGAAGACCUGGCAGUAAGCCUAUGGUGAACAAAUAUUUUUAAUGAACAAACAGAAAUUAUGGCCCCAAACUGAAAACACCCUGGAAGCCACAAACUCUGUUACCUUCAAAAGAAGCCAGAUCUGGACCGCUGAGGUUUUUAAAAAAUGCAAUGAGCGAAUUAGUGAAAUCAGUUCAUCACGGACACUGUGUCUUUCAGGAAAUGAAGCCUCCGAAGAAAAAAGGGAUCCUAGCCCCUGCCAAAUUCCAUUCUGUUUCAAAUUAGCCUUCCAGUAAAAUGAGGGGGCUGUCCUAACUGGUCUUUAAGGUCCUCCUAGUACCAGAGCUCUGAGGCUCUGUAUUUCCCCUGAACAACCUCUUGGAACUCUCCACAUUCUCAUAACAGAAGAAAAUGCAUUUGUGCUCUGGGCUGAAGCUCAGAAGUGGGCUUUCACGACAGUCAUUUCAGGCCUGUUUCCCUUUUUCUCCCUUCCCUGAAAGGGCCUCUGGUCUUUCCCAAGCUGCCUGAGUAGAAGGAAACACACAGCUCCCCCAGAGCAGAGAGGCCCGCGAGAGGGAAAGCUGGCCCAGGCCCAGGGCAGGCUCGCCUCUGACUCUGCAGGGACAUUAUUCCCUCCCAGCCAGCAGGGAACUUCUGGAACUUCUAAACAGCACAUCCUCGAGCCAGCCCAGGCCCCCACAGCAUCCUGCACCCCAGGUUUACAAGCUUUUUAAUGAUGGAGUUUUGCUCUUACGCCCAGGCUGGAAUGAAGUGGCAUGAUCUUGGCUCACUGCAACCUCUGCCCCACCAAAAUUCAAGCAAUUCUCCUGCCUCAGCCUCCCGAGUAGCUGGGAUUACAGGAAGAUAACUUUGGCAGCAGAAUGGGAAGAAGAUUGGAUGGGAGAGAGAUCAAAGGCUGGGAGAUUCUAAGAGGCUGUUGCAGUAUAGUCGAGGUUUGUCUGCCAGUGGAGUCCAUGUUUCCACCACUGUCCUACAUGGCCUCUCCUCACGAAUGGCUCCAACCUCCUGGGUGCGAUGGAUGAAGCCGGGUGCAGAGAUGGAAAGAGCAGCCCAACUUUCCUAACUGGAGGACUGAAGCGAGAGCUCUCACUGUCGGCCUAGUGUGGAUUGACUCCUUUCCACCACAUUCCCCAACCAAGGACAGUCUAUACCAAGCUCACAGCACUGAGGCGCUGGGGGAGGGCCAGCCCACACCUAGCCCCGUCAAUCUUGGUGGCAUGGACUCCCUCCUAAAGCUUUCUCAGGAGGCCCCAUUUCCUACUGCAGCGGGGCAAGAAUUCAGGAGGAGCCCACUCAAAGGGGAGACAGAGGCAGUGCUCCCUGUGAGCAGCUCUUCCUCCUCAGAGCUGUCAUGGACAAUUGGAGAGAAAAACCGGGACAUUCUCCCCAACCAGGAUAUUUUGUAUGCUUUGCACUUACUGCUGCGUUCCCUUCAUCUAAAAGCUCUAAAAUUUCAAAUAAAAAGGUACAAUGAAAGCGUUUGUCUGCCAGUGGAGUCCAUGUUUCCACCACUGUCCUACAUGGCCUCUCCUCACGAAUGGCUCCAACCUCCUGGGUGCGAUGGAUGAAGCCGGGUGCAGAGAUGGAAAGAGCAGCCCAACUUUCCUAACUGGAGGACUGAAGCGAGAGCUCUCACUGUCGGCCUAGUGUGGAUUGACUCCUUUCCACCACAUUCCCCAACCAAGGACAGUCUAUACCAAGCUCACAGCACUGAGGCGCUGGGGGAGGGCCAGCCCACACCUAGCCCCGUCAAUCUUGGUGGCAUGGACUCCCUCCUAAAGCUUUCUCAGGAGGCCCCAUUUCCUACUGCAGCGGGGCAAGAAUUCAGGAGGAGCCCACUCAAAGGGGAGACAGAGGCAGUGCUCCCUGUGAGCAGCUCUUCCUCCUCAGAGCUGUCAUGGACAAUUGGAGAGAAAAACCGGGACAUUCUCCCCAACCAGGAUAUUUUGUAUGCUUUGCACUUACUGCUGCGUUCCCUUCAUCUAAAAGCUCUAAAAUUUCAAAUAAAAAGGUACAAUGAAAGCA
rnacentral:lncRNA from 1 species